rnacentral:rRNA from 1 species
GAUGAACGCUAGCGGCAGGCCUAAUACAUGCAAGUCGAACGGUAACAUGAGUAGCAAUACUUGAUGACGAGUGGCGCACGGGGGCGUAACGCGUAUGCAAUCUACCUUUAACUGGUGAAUAGCCCGAAGAAAUUCGGAUUAAUACAGCAUAGUAUAUUUGAAUGGCAUGAUUAAAAUAGCAAAACUCCGGUGGUUAAAGAUGAGCAUGCGUGACAUUAGCCAGUUGGUGAGGUAAUGGCUCAGCAAGGCGACGAUGUCUAGGGGAUCUGAGAGGAUUAACCCCCACACUGGUACUGAGACACGGACCAGGCUCCGACGGGAGGCAGCAGUAAGGAAUAGUGGACAAUGGUCGAAAGACUGAUCCAGCCGUGACGCGUGAAGGAUGACGGCCCUAUGGGUUGUAAACUUCUUUUGUAUGGGAAAAAACCCUUCUACGUGUAGAAGGCUGAUGGUACCAUAAGAAUAAGGAUCGGCUAACUCCGUGCCAGCAGCCGCAGUAA